rnacentral:rRNA from 1 species
CACGUAGGGGACGGGCGUUGUCCGGAUUCAUUGGGCGUAAAGCGCGCGUAGGCGGCUCGGAAAGUCGGUCGUGAAAUGCCGGGGCUCAACCCCGGGACUGCGUCCGAUACUCCCGAGCUGGAGGCAGGUAGGGGAGAUCGGAAUUCCCGGUGUAGCGGUGAAAUGCGCAGAUAUCGGGAGGAACACCAGUAGCGAAGGCGGCUCGCUGGGCCAUUCCUGACGCUGAGACGCGAAAGCUAGGGGAGCGAACAGG